AUUGAACGCUGGCGGCAGGCCUAACACAUGCAAGUCGAACGGUAACAGGAAGAAGCUUGCUUCUUUGCUGACGAGUGGCGGACGGGUGAGUAAUGUCUGGGAAACUGCCUGAUGGAGGGGGAUAACAACUGGAAACGGUAGCUAAUACCGCAUAACGUCGCAAGACCAAAGAGGGGGACCUUCGGGCCUCUUGCCAUCGGAUGUGCCCAGAUGGGAUUAGCUAGUAGGUGGGGUAACGGCUCACCUAGGCGACGAUCCCUAGCUGGUCUGAGAGGAUGACCAGCCACACUGGAACUGAGACACGGUCCAGACUCCUACGGGAGGCAGCAGUGGGGAAUAUUGCACAAUGGGCGCAAGCCUGAUGCAGCCAUGCCGCGUGUAUGAAGAAGGCCUUCGGGUUGUAAAGUACUUUCAGCGGGGAGGAAGGGAGUAAAGUUAAUACCUUUGCUCAUUGACGUUACCCGCAGAAGAAGCACCGGCUAACUCCGUG
rnacentral:rRNA from 1 species